GGAAAGAUGGGUGAGUGGCUGAAACCAACAGUUUGCUAAACUGUCGUACUCGUAUUGGGUACCGGGGGUUCGAAUCCCCCUCUUUCCG
rnacentral:tRNA from 1 species